GAAAAAGAGAGAGAGAUAGAGGGUAUCCUUGACUUGUUCCAGUUUUUAAGGGGAAUGCUUCCAAUUUUUGCCCAUUCAGUAUGUUGUUGGCUGUGGGUCUGUCAUAGGUGGCUCUUAUUAUUUUGAGGUAUGUUCCUUCAAUACCUAGUUUAUGGAGAGUGUUUAACAUGUAGUGAUGUUGAAUUUUAUUAAAAGCCUUUUCUGCAUCAAUUGAGAUAAUCAUAUAGUUUUUGUUUUUAGUUCUAUUUGUGUGAUGAAUCACAUUUAUUGAUUUGCAUAUGUUGAACCAAUCUUGCAUCCCAGGGAUAAAGUCUACUUGAUCAUGGUAGAUAAACUUUUUGAUGUGCUGCUGGAUUCAGUUUGCCAGUAUUUUGUUGAAGAUUUUUGCAUCAGUGUUCAUCAAGAAUAUUGGCCUAAAGUUUUGUUGUUGUUGUUGUUGCUGCUGUUGUGUCUCUGCCAGGUUUUGGUAUCAGGAUGAUGCUGCCAUCACUGAAUCAGUUAGGGAGGAGCCCCUCCUCCUCAAUUUUUUUGGAAUAGUUUCAGCAGAAAUAGUACAAGCUCUUCUUUGUACAUCUGGCAGAAUUCAGCUGUGAAUCUGUGUAGCACUGGGCUUUUUUUGGUUGGUGGGCUAUUUAUUACUGAUUUAGUUUUGGAGCUCAUUAUUGGUCUGUUCAGGUAAUCAAUUUCUUCCUGGUUCAGUCUUGGGAGGAUGUAUGUGUCUGGGAAUUUAUCCAUCUCUUCUAGGUUUUCUACUUUGUGUGCAUAGAGGUGUCUGUAGCAGUUUCUGAUGGUUAUUUUUAUUAUUGUGGGGUCAGGAGUAACUUCCCCUUUGUCAUUUCUAAUUGUGUUUAUUUGGAUUUUCUCUUUCUUCUUCUUUAUUAGUCUAACUAGUGGCCUAUAUUACUAAUUAUUUGUUUCAAAAAAUCAACUCCUGGAUCUGCUGAUCUUUUGAAUUCUUUUUUGUGUCUCAAUUUUCUUUAGUUCAGCUCUGAUUUUGGUUAUUUCUUGUCUUCUGCUAGCUUUGGGGUUGGUUUACUCUUGCUUCUCUAAUUCUUUUGGUUUUGAUGUUAGGUUACUAAUGUAACAUCUUUCUAAUUUUUUGAUGUGGACAUUCAGUGCUAUGAAUUUCCUGCUUAACAUUGCCUUAGCUGUGUACCACAGAUUCUAAUAUGUUGCAUUUUUAUUCUCAUUAAUUUCAAAGUACUUCUUUUCUGCCUUAAUUUCAGAUUUACCCAAGAGUCAUUCAGGAGCAUGUCAUUUAAUUUUCAUGUAAUUGUAUGGUAUGAGUGAUUUUAAAAGUCUUGACUUCUAUUUUCAUUGUACUGUGGUCCAAGAUUGUGUUUGGUAUAAUUUUGGUUAUUGAUAUGGUUUGGCUGUGUCCCCACCCAAAUAUCAUCUUGAAUUGUAGCUCCCAUAAUCCCCAUGUGUCGUGGGAGGGAUCUGGUGGGAGGUAAAUGAAUCAUAGGGGUGAGUUUUUCUCAUGCUGAAAGUGAAUAAGUCACAUGAGGGCUGAUGGUUUUAUAAAGGGCAGUUCCCCUGCACAUGCUUGCUUAUCGUCAUGUAAGACAUGUCUUUGCUUCUCCUUUGCCUUCUGCCAUGAUUGUGAGACCUCCCCAGCCAUGUGGAACUGUCAGUCCAUUAAACCUCUUUUUUUUUAAUAAAUUACCCAGUCUCAGGUAUUUCUUCAUAGCAGUAUGACAAUGUACUAAUACAAUUACUUUGCAUUUGCUGAGACUUGUUUUGUGUUCGAUUACAUGGUUGAUUUUAGAGUAUGUGUCAUGUGGAAAUGGGAAGAAUGCUGUUGUUUUAGGGGUAGAGUUCUGUAAAGGUCCAGAUCCAUUUUUGUCCAAUGUUGAAUAUCUUUGUUAAUUUUAUGCCUUGAUGAUCUGUCUAAUGCUGUCAGUGGAGUGUUGAUGUCUCCCACUAUUCAUUGUGAGGGAGUCUCAGUCUUUUUGUAGGAAUCUAAUAAUUUGCUUUAUGAAUCUGGCUGCUCCUCUAUUGGGUGCAUAUAUAUUUAGGAUAGUUAUGUCUUCUUGUUGAAUUGAGCCCUUAACAUUAUGUAAUGCCUUUCUUUGUCUUUUUUGAUCUUUGUUGGUUUAAAGCCUGUUUUGUCUGAAAUUAGGGUUGCCUGAAAUUAGGUCCAUCUGGUCCUGGAUUUUUCUUUGUUUGGAAGUUUUUUGUUACUGAUUUAAUCUCAUUACUUAUUAAACAUCUGCUCGGAUUUUUUUUGUUCUUGAGUCUGUUUUGGUAAUUUGUGUUUUUCUGGAAAUGUUUCCAUUUUAUCUAGGUUAUAUAAUUCAUUGGUGUACAAUUAUUUAUAGUAUUCUCUUACAAUCCCCUUCAUUUUUGUAAGGCCAGUUGUAAUAUUUCAAUUUUCAUGACUAAUGUUAGUUAUUUGUACAUUCUCUCUCUUUUACUUAGUCUAGCUAAUGAUUUGUUUAUUUUAUUGAUCUUUACAAAUAACCUAUCUUUGUUUCCAUUAAUUUUCUCUACUGUUUUUCUAUUCUCUAUUUCAUUUAUCUCUGCUCUUAUCAUUAUUGUUUUCUUCCUUCUGUUAGCUUUGGAUUUAGUUUGCUCUCUUUCUUCAAGUUCUUUAAGGUGUAAAGUUAAGUUCUUAAUUUGAGAUUUUUCUUCUCCACAUACCCCUUCACCACAUGUACCUAUAGCCUUCCCCCAACAUUAACAACUUGUACACCAUGUUGGUAUAUUUGUUACAAUCAAUGAACCAACAUUGGCACAUCAUUAUCAACCCAAGUCCAUAGUUUACAUUAUAGUUCACACCUUGUGUUAUAUAUUCUAUGGGUUUUCAAAAUGCAUAAGGAAAUAGAUUCACCAUUACAGUAUCAUACAGAAUCACUGCCCUAAAAAUCACCUGUGCUUCUCUUAUUCAUCCUUUCUUCCCUUCUGCCACAACCCUGAAAACCACAGAUACUUUUACUGCCUUUACAUUUUUGCCCUUUCCAGAAUGUUUUGUCAUUGUUGGUUUUGUUCAUUCCCUUCGUUACAGCCUUCUUUGUAUUUAAUUAAUUUUCUGUAGUGUGCCACAUUAAUUCCCUCCUCACAUCCUUUUGUGUAUGUUUUAAUAUUGUUUUUCAGUAGUAGUUACUAUGGGAUUGCACUUGGCAUCCUAAAUUUACAACAAUGUAGUUUGGAUUGAUACCAAAUUAACUCCAAUGGCACACAAAAUCUCUGUUCCUAUAUGGCUUCAUCUCCCUUCUGUUUUGUCACAAAUUAAAUCUUUAUACAUUGUGUGUCCAUUAAUAUACAUUUAUAAUUAUGUUUACACAUUUGUCUUUUAAGUGAUAUAAGAAAGAAAAAGUAAUAUAAACCGAUAACCAAAAUAAUACUGACUUUUAUAUUUACCUUUGUAGUUACCUUCAUCAGAGUUCUUUAUUUCUUCUUAAGACUUUGAGUUGCUGUCUAAUGUUCUCUCACUGUAGCCUGAACAACUCUCUAGCAUUUCUUAUAGGGCAGGUGUACUGGCAACAAAUGCCCUCAGCUUUUGCUUAUUGGGGAAUGUCUUAAUUACUCCUUUGUUUUUGAAGGAUAGAUUUUCUGGGUAUAGACUUUUGGUUGACAGAUUGCUUUUCUUUCAGCACUAUAAAGAUGUCAUCCCAUUCCUUUCUUGCCUCCAUAGUUUCUGGCAACAAACUGGCUGUGAAUUUCAUUGUAGAGCCCUUGUACAUGACAAAACACUUCUUGAUUGCUGCUGUCAAGAUUCUUUCUUUGACUUUGGCUUUUGACAAUUAGAUUAUAUGUCUCAUUGUGGAUUUCUUGGCAAUUAUCCUUCUUGGAGUUGAUUGAGCUUCCUGGAUGUAUAGAUUUGUGCUUUUAAUCAAAUUGGAAUAUUUUGGCCAUUAUUUUUUCAAAUACUUUUUCUGCCCUUUCCUCUCUCUCUCUCUUCUUUUCUCCAGAGACCCCAUUAAAUGUAUGUUGGUAUACUUGAUGAUGUUCCAGAGGUCCCUUAGGUUGUGUUCAUUUUUCUUUAUUUUUUUUCUUUCUGUUCUUCAUACUUGAUCAUUUCAAUUGACCGAUUUUCUAGUUCUAUAAUUCUUUAUUCUGCCUAAUCAAUAUUUCUAGUAUUGAAACUUUCUAGAGAAGUUUUCAGUUUGGUAAUGUAGUUUUCAGCUCCAGAAUUGUUUUGUUUUGUGUUUUUUCUUUUGUCAUUUCCAUCUCUUUAUUGAAAUCUCUGUUCACACAUUAUUCUCCUUAUUGAAAUCUUUGUUCACACAUUAUUCUUUUUAGCUCUCUGUCCAUAGUUUCAUUUAGCAGUUUGAACAUAUUUAAGACAGUUUAUUUAAGGUCCUUUUUCCAGUAAGUCCAAUGUCUGUGCUUCCUCAUAAGUAGUUUCUAAUCCUUUAGUAGUUCAUAAGCAUGAUGAUUGGCUUUUUAUGCUCAUGAAUAAAAUAUGCCUCCCUCAAGCCUUUUUAUGACAUUGGCACAUUACCCAUCUGACGUGAAAAAAUAGAGCUUCUGUUAGUUUCUUCUGUGAACAAGCAUUUUUUUUUGCAUAUUCCAUAAUUUUUGUUAAAAAGUGGAACUGGACAUCUUAAUAAUUAUUAUGUGUUAACUCUGGAAAUCACAUUUUCCCCUCUCUUUGGGGUUUGUUUUGUUGUUUUGGUUUCUAUUUCUAUUUUUAUUCUGCCUGAUCACAUCUACUAUUGAAAUCUUCCAGUGAAGUUUUCAUUUCAGUUAUUGUAUUUUUCAGCUCCAGAAUUUCUGUAGGCUUGAUAUGAGCUAUAGCUAUUGGGUUGUUUAAUAAUUUUCUAAACUUUUUUUGUGAAGUCUGUAUUCUUUGACAUAUAUUUUCUUUAAAAUCUCUGCUCCUUUAACUUGUGUUCAGUUAUUGUUUUGACAUGAUUUCCUUACACAACAGAAGACAGAGGGAGGAGGACAGAGAGAACUUCAUCUUUUCAGAUCGACUCUGUGCUAAGGCACUCCUUCAAUGCUUAGCCAGGCCAUUUACAACCACCUUAGCCUUUACUUCCUGCUUGUACUGCAUUUAGAGGUCAGCGAAAUGUGAAAGCUUAGGGUCUUCUCAGGUCUUUUCUAAGAAUGUUUCUAGCCCCAGCCAUGCAUUUGGCUUUCCAAAUUUCCCAGUAUAUGUGAAUAUUAUUUUAAUGCCUAAUUUUUCAAAUAAACUCUCUGUAGCUUUUCCUAUUUUUACAACUUUUCUAUGAGUUAGAACUUAUUUCAAAAUAAAACUUAAAAUAAAAAAGCAUUGAUUUUGAGGCCAGAAAGUUCUGGGUUCAAACCCAAGCUCUACAACUUGCUUACUGUGUGAUCUUAUACAAGUUACUUUCAUUAAGGCUCAGUGUUCUUAUCUGUAGGGUAAAGAUUAUAAUACUUACGUUACAUAAUUGUGUUUUAGGAGUAAUGUGUACUUGGCACAUAGUGGAUACUUAACAAAUGAUAACUAAUAUUAUUGCUAUUCAUGAUAUUGAGCUUGUGUUCAGUGAAAAGCCAUCCUAGUACUAGAUUUGUCACAGAACCAAAGAUUGCUAAUAACUUAAAAAUACAAUAAAUCUGAAUUCAAAUUCUCUUAUGCUAAGUAAUAAAAAAAGCACUGUGAUUGACUUGAACCUCAGAAUCUUUUUAAACUGAAGGCAAACUAGGAAUAUAGGUUUAGAGAUGCAAUUUGAAUGUGUUCCUAAGAAAUCUCUAUUGUAAUAGGAAAAUUCCCCUCAAUACCAUGGAAACUAAUCUAUAUUGGGAAAUUUAAAGCAAAAAUAAUUGAUAAUACAGGAGGGCACUGUCAUUAAAAAGAUCUAGCAUACCUUCAGAUUAAGUGCAUUUCUCCCAUAUACUUGACAGUUUACUAUGGCCAGGUUGGUCAUGGCUGUUAUUGUUUCAUAUCGUGUUGCUGCAACAGUCUUAAAACCUUCACCACGUACAACGUGUAUCUCUGAUUCUAUUUUUUCAGUUUUGGUGAGACCUAAAUAAACAAAACAAAACAAAACAUAAAAUUUAAAUGUGUUAUCACUUAGAAUGAAAGUUAAGAGGUAUUUAUCUUAUGAUAAUAUUG
rnacentral:lncRNA from 10 species